rnacentral:lncRNA from 1 species
UAAUGUUCAAACAAUCUUUGUUCACAGAAAAGUAGCUAUUACCAUGUACCACUACACUGACUGUUGACCACCUGGCUUCCUGGCCUCUGUAUGAACAAGACAGCUUAGCCAAGAACAGUAUAACUUUAGCCAAAGUCACAAAAUUAACUAGUAAAAUAAUAAAGUUUGCCAAACUUGGUAGAAUAGUAUAGUCCUAAUUUUUGAUCUGGCUCUGCCAGUCAGGAUUUUUUCCCACUCGCUUCUAAUCAGUUUAAAUUGUGGGUGAUUUGUAUCCCCCAUAAAAACUAAUUGCAUGUUAUUAUAACUAGAGUUGUGUGCUCUAGAGAGAUUGAGGAAAUGGAUCAUUGAGGAUUGAGCUACUCUACAGAUGGGCCAGCUUUACAGAUGGUACAGCAAACAGAGGGCUGCAAACCAAGCUGUACCUGAGCUGGGAGCAGCCUGACCCUGGCAUAGGGACGUUGGUGCUGAAAAGUCACGGUGCAGUCAUUGGCAAGGCACAUCUCAGAACAGCUCUGCAAUCUCUGUCUACUUAUCCAUCAGCAAGAUCUGUAAGAUGCUGCCAGGUUGGCAAAAGCCAUGAUUGGUGGGACAAACGUGUGCCUUGAAAAGGAUAUACGUUUUUUGGAGAAACAACCAAAUAAACCAGGCUUGCCUACGGAAUAUU